rnacentral:rRNA from 1 species
GACGAACGCUGGCGGCGUGCUUAACACAUGCAAGUCGAACGGUAAGGCCCUUCGGGGUACACGAGUGGCGAACGGGUGAGUAAAACGUGGGUGAUCUGCCCUGCACUUCGGGAUAAGUCUGGGAAACUGGGUCUAAUACCGGAUAGGACACCUGCCUGCAUGGGGGGUGGUGGAAAGCUUUUGCGGUGUGGGAUGGGCCCGCGGCCUAUCAGCUUGUUGGUGGGGUGAUGGCCUACCAAGGCGACGACGGGUAGCCGGCCUGAGAGGGUGACCGGCCACACUGGGACUGAGAUACGGCCCAGACUCCUACGGGAGGCAGCAGUGGGGAAUAUUGCACAAUGGGCGCAAGCCUGAUGCAGCGACGCCGCGUGAGGGAUGACGGCCUUCGGGUUGUAAACCUCUUUCAGCACCGACGAAGCGCAAGUGACGGUAGGUGCAGAAGAAGGACCGGCCAACUACGUGCCAGCAGCCGCCGUAA